CUCUCUCUCUCUCUUGUGUCUUUGUCUAUGUCAUUCUUACCUUAACAUAACAUUUUCAUUCAUUCUUACAUAAACCAAAACAAAACAAAACAAAACUCCAUUCUCUCUCUCUCUCUCUCUCUACAAAAUUCAACCCAUCUUCAUCUUCAUCAACAAUCCAUCACACAAAAACUCCAAACACGACAACCUCAAACACACACACACACAAAAAAAAACAAUUUUUUAUUUCGAAAAUCCACUGUUGUUUCUUUCAUUUUCUUUCUCUACACACUGUUUCUUUCUGAAACAUUCUUCAUCAUCAUCAAUCAUCAUUGAGAUAAUCAACUAUGGAACCCGAAAGAUCAAAACCACUCCACAACUUUUCAUUACCACCCAUGAAAUGGGGAGCACAGCGUUUUCUAAGAUGUGUCAACACCGACCAUUCACCUCUCAAUCGCAAUUCUCCCCAAACCGACCCUAAUCGCAAAAACCACCAACCCAUCGUUCGUGAAAGAAUCAUGGGUGAUCUCACAGUCGCUGCAACGAAACUUAAAGUUUCUAUUUUUGAAGAAAAUGGUAAUGGUAAUGGUAAUGCUGAUGCUGAUGCUUCUCUUGUUGGUGCUUCUAAUGGUACAAUUAGGCCUUGGAAUUUGAGAACAAGAAGAGCUGCGUGUAAAGCACCGCCACCGCCUUCGCCGGUACCGUUACCGCCGGUUAGAGAUGAAGGAAGAAGGUUUUUUGAGGUUGGGUCUUCUUCACCUUCUUCGCCUGUGAUGAUGAUGAAGAAGAAGAAAAUGGUUAUGGUGAAUGAGAAAGUUAAAUUUUCUGUUUCUCUUUCUAAGGAAGAGAUUGAACAAGAUUUUUGGGCUUUGGCUGGGACUAGACCUCCCAGAAGGCCCAAGAAGAGGCCCAGAAUUGUUCAGAGACAAUUGAAUACGCUUCUUCCUGGGAUGUGGCUAUCGGAGGUGACUGCAGAGUCAUACAAAGUUUCUGAAGUUCCCGAAUGAGGAGCAGAAAUGAAUGACAUAACUGAAUUUCUGGAUGUUCCCAAAUGUUUUUCUUGGUGACUUCCUUCAACAAUGUCACAUAAAUAAUGUUCAGCGCUGAUCAUUCUUGAAAAGUGUGAGUUCAACCGGGUUGUAAUUUUACUGCUCAUUAGAGGUGAAAGGGGUGUCAAACAGACAUACUCCCGCCUUGCCAAAGUCCGCUCGCCCUGAUUAGGCUCGUCCCGCCUUGCCAAAGUCCGCUAAAAACUGGACGUCCUUUUGUCACCCGUAGGCGAAAUCAUUAUUGCAGUUGCGAUUGUAUGUACUGUUGGGAUAGUUUGUAGAAUUCUGCUUUCAUCUCAGCAUAAAUGAUAUCAGUAGUACCAAGUUUUUCAUGGAAACUUAAGAGGAAGCUUCUGUUAUGGUC